rnacentral:rRNA from 1 species
CACGUAGGGACCAAGCGUUGUCCGGAUUUAUUGGGCGUAAAGCGCUCGUAGGCGGUUCGGUAAGUCGGGUGUGAAACCUCCAGGCUCAACCUGGUGACGCCACCCGAUACUGCCGUGACUUGAGUUCGGUAGGGGAGCGGGGAAUUCCGGGUGUAGCGGUGGAAUGCGUAGAGAUCCGGAGGAAGACCGGUGGCGAAGGCGGCCUGCUGGGCAGUUACUGACACUGAGGCGCGACAGCGUGGGGAGCAAACAGG